rnacentral:lncRNA from 1 species
UCCCCAUACCCCGUCCGGUAUGAGUACCAAAAAUUUCAUCCCUCAAUACUUCAUCUAGUAUAAGGGUGAAACGGGUCGUCCCCAUACCCCGUCUGGUAUGAGUGCCAAAAAUACCAAUCCACGAAAUGCAUUGUGAUAUGUUCCCACUUCCACUACAGAAUUGGUAAUGGUUGAAGUAGUCCACUUGGGCAUUGAUCUACUGCCUUGGCUUGCUGACAUACUAAACACUUAGAAACAAAGUCGACCACAUCUCUUUUUCAUCCCGUUCCACCAAAAUCGAGGUCGCAUACUUUGAUACAUCU